UACGUAGGGGGCAAGCGUUGUGCGGAAUCAUUGGGCGUAAAGAGCGUGUAGGCGGCCCGAUAAGUCCGCUGUGAAAUCUCGAGGCUCAACUUCGAGCUGUCGGUGGAAACUGUCUGGCUAGAGUCCGGAAGAGGAGAAUGGAAUUCCUGGUGUAGCGGUGAAAUGCGCAGAUAUCAGGAAGAACACCCGUGGCGAAGGCGGUUCUCUGGGACGGUACUGACGCUGAGACACGAAAGCGUGGGGAGCGAACAGG
rnacentral:rRNA from 1 species